UAAAGGUGAUACCACAGUGGCGGAAGUAUUAUCCGAAUUCGAUUUCGGUGGGUAUGUGGUCAAGUUUCGGGGACGAAACUUCUUUUAAGGGGGGGAUAAUGUAAGGACUGAGAUUUUUACAGUGCAACUAAACUCUCUGUUGACGAUGUUUAUGUGUGUAAUUUAAUUACAUAAGCACUCGUCAAGUUUCAGGAGAAAAUGAGCUAAAAUGGAGAAGUUACGCGAUUUUUAAAUUUCACUUAAGUGAAUAGUAACUCCGGUUUUUCGGAGAGGCCAAUGCGUGAAGUAGGCUUCUGGCGCGUAUCGGACUCUGUUCAUAGCGAUCCAAUAGCUCGUUUCGAACGGUUCAGCUAUUCUGGAACUAAUGGCACUGACGGAUUUCAGAUCCGAUGUACGGUUUUCGAGAAAAAGGAGUUUUAACAAAAAGAGGGUUUCCGCU
rnacentral:lncRNA from 1 species